GCCCUGGAUAGCUCAGCUGGUUAGAGUGUGGUGCUGAUAACACCAAGGUUGCAGUUCGAUCCCCAUGUGGGACA
rnacentral:tRNA from 1 species